UUAACACAUGCAAGUCGAACGAUGAUGCCCAGCUUGCUGGGCGGAUUAGUGGCGAACGGGUGAGUAAUACGUGAGUAACCUGCCCUUGACUCUGGGAUAAGCCUGGGAAACUGGGUCUAAUACUGGAUACUACCUCUUACCGCAUGGUGGGUGGUGGAAAGGGUUUUACUGGUUUUGGAUGGGCUCACGGCCUAUCAGCUUGUUGGUGGGGUAAUGGCUCACCAAGGCGACGACGGGUAGCCGGCCUGAGAGGGUGACCGGCCACACUGGGACUGAGACACGGCCCAGACUCCUACGGGAGGCAGCAGUGGGGAAUAUUGCACAAUGGGCGGAAGCCUGAUGCAGCGACGCCGCGUGAGGGAUGACGGCCUUCGGGUUGUAAACCUCUUUCAGUAGGGAAGAAGCGAGAGUGACGGUACCUGCAGAAGAAGCGCCGGCUAACUACGUGCCAGCAGCCGCGGUAAUACGUAGGGCGCAAGCGUUGUCCGGAAUUAUUGGGCGUAAAGAGCUCGUAGGCGGUUUGUCGCGUCUGCUGUGAAAGCCCGGGGCUCAACCCCGGGUCUGCAGUGGGUACGGGCAGACUAGAGUGCAGUAGGGGAGACUGGAAUUCCUGGUGUAGCGGUGAAAUGCGCAGAUAUCAGGAGGAACACCGAUGGCGAAGGCAGGUCUCUGGGCUGUUACUGACGCUGAGGAGCGAAAGCAUGGGGAGCGAACAGGAUUAGAUACCCUGGUAGUCCAUGCCGUAAACGUUGGGCACUAGGUGUGGGGGACAUUCCACGUUUUCCGCGCCGUAGCUAACGCAUUAAGUGCCCCGCCUGGGGAGUACGGCCGCAAGGCUAAAACUCAAAGGAAUUGACGGGGGCCCGCACAAGCGGCGGAGCAUGCGGAUUAAUUCGAUGCAACGCGAAGAACCUUACCAAGGCUUGACAUUCACCGGACCGCCCCAGAGAUGGGGUUUCCCUUCGGGGCUGGUGGACAGGUGGUGCAUGGUUGUCGUCAGCUCGUGUCGUGAGAUGUUGGGUUAAGUCCCGCAACGAGCGCAACCCUCGUUCUAUGUUGCCAGCACGUGAUGGUGGGGACUCAUAGGAGACUGCCGGGGUCAACUCGGAGGAAGGUGGGGAUGACGUCAAAUCAUCAUGCCCCUUAUGUCUUGGGCUUCACGCAUGCUACAAUGGCCGGUACAAAGGGUUGCGAUACUGUGAGGUGGAGCUAAUCCCAAAAAGCCGGUCUCAGUUCGGAUUGAGGUCUGCAACUCGACCUCAUGAAGUCGGAGUCGCUAGUAAUCGCAGAUCAGCAACGCUGCGGUGAAUACGUUCCCGGGCCUUGUACACACCGCCCGUCAAGUCACGAAAGUUGGUAACACCCGAAGCCGGUGGCCUAACCCCUUGUGGGAGGGAGCCGUCGAAGGUGG
rnacentral:rRNA from 1 species